rnacentral:tRNA from 1 species
GCCCGGGUAGCUCAGCUGGUAGAGCAACGCUCUCGUAAAGCGUAGGUCGUCGGUUCGACUCCGAUCUCGGGCU